AGAGUUUGAUCCUGGCUCAGAUUGAACGCUGGCGGAACGCUUUACACAUGCAAGUCGAACGGUAACGCGGAGAGAAGCUUGCUUCUCUCCGGCGACGAGUGGCGAACGGGUGAGUAAUACAUCGGAACGUGUCCGCUCGUGGGGGACAACCAGCCGAAAGGUUGGCUAAUACCGCAUGAGUUCUACGGAAGAAAGAGGGGGACCCGCAAGGGCCUCUCGCGAGCGGAGCGGCCGAUGACUGAUUAGCCGGUUGGUGAGGUAACGGCUCACCAAAGCAACGAUCAGUAGCUGGUCUGAGAGGACGACCAGCCACACUGGGACUGAGACACGGCCCAGACUCCUACGGGAGGCAGCAGUGGGGAAUUUUGGACAAUGGGCGCAAGCCUGAUCCAGCUAUUCCGCGUGUGGGAUGAAGGCCCUCGGGUUGUAAACCACUUUUGUAGAGAACGAAAAGACACCUUCGAAUAAAGGGUGUUGCUGACGGUACUCUAAGAAUAAGCACCGGCUAACUACGUGCCAGCAGCCGCGGUAAUACGUAGGGUGCGAGCGUUAAUCGGAAUUACUGGGCGUAAAGGGUGCGCAGGCGGUUGAGUAAGACAGAUGUGAAAUCCCCGAGCUUAACUCGGGAAUGGCAUAUGUGACUGCUCGACUAGAGUGUGUCAGAGGGAGGUGGAAUUCCACGUGUAGCAGUGAAAUGCGUAGAUAUGUGGAAGAACACCGAUGGCGAAGGCAGCCUCCUGGGACAUAACUGACGCUCAGGCACGAAAGCGUGGGGAGCAAACAGGAUUAGAUACCCUGGUAGUCCACGCCCUAAACGAUGUUAACUAGUUGUUGGGAAGUAAAAUUCUCAGUAACGCAGCCAACGCGAGAAGUUAACCGCCUGGGAAGUACGGUCGCAAGACUAAAACUCAAAGGAAUUGACGGGGACCCGCACAAGCGGUGGAU
rnacentral:rRNA from 1 species